rnacentral:rRNA from 1 species
GUGGGGAAUAUUGGACAAUGGGCGAAAGCCUGAUCCAGCCAUGCCGCGUGUGUGAAGAAGGUCUUCGGAUUGUAAAGCACUUUAAGUUGGGAGGAAGGGCAGUAAGUUAAUACCUUGCUGUUUUGACGUUACCGACAGAAUAAGCACCGGCUAACUUCGUGCCAGCAGCCGCGGUAAUACGAAGGGUGCAAGCGUUAAUCGGAAUUACUGGGCGUAAAGCGCGCGUAGGUGGUUUUGUAAGUUGGAGGUGAAAUCCCCGGGCUCAACCUGGGAACUGCCUCCAAAACUACAUGACUAGAGUACGGUAGAGGGUAGUGGAAUUUCCUGUGUAGCGGUGAAAUGCGUAGAUAUAGGAAGGAACACCAGUGGCGAAGGCGACUACCUGGACUGAUACUGACACUGAGGUGCGAAAGCGUGGGGAGCAAACAGGAUUAGAAACCCGUGUAGUCC